rnacentral:tRNA from 1 species
GGGCUUAUAGUUUAAUGGUAAAACAUACCGCUCAUAACGGUAACAAUAUAGGUUCAAAUCCUAUUAAGCCUA